rnacentral:rRNA from 1 species
GGCGAGUGAAGCGGGAAGAGCUCAAGCUUAAAAAUCUCCGUGCAAGUUUUGUGCGGCGAAUUGUAGUCUAUAGAAGCGUGGUCAGCAUGGGCACUUGGGGCAAGUUCCUUGGAAGAGGACAGCAUGGAGGGUGAUACUCCCGUUCAUUUCUGAGUUGCUCGUGCGUACGACCCGUUUUCUUUGAGUCGCGUUGUUUGGGAAUGCAGCGCAAAGUAGGUGGUAAAUUCCAUCUAAAGCUAAAUAUUGGUGCGAGACCGAUAGCGAACAAGUACCGUGAGGGAAAGAUGAAAAGAACUUUGAAAAGAGAGUUAAAGAGUACCUGAAACUGCUGAAAGGGAACCGAAUCGUUUCCAGUGUCUAUAAUCCGUGGUAUAUUUCAUUGGCGAGUGUGUGCGUGCGUGUGCUGUGGCAGCGGCUUUUUUGGCUGCGCUCGGCGUGUGUGCUGUGUGUGCUUGCUGGUGCUCUGUGCUGCGGUGGGACGUCAAGGUCAGUUCGUAUGCUGCGGGAAAUGGCUGCCGAGGAGGUAGGGCUUACGCUUGCGUUUGUCUGUUAUAUCUUGGUGGACGAGUAGUCGCGGUUGGGACUGAGGUGCCUACAACGUGCUUUUGAGUGGGUUUGUGUCUCCGUGUGCGCCGUGUGCGGAUAGCUU